AUUUUUGCGCAGCGGUAGUAUCGUAGCCUAUGAGGUCUAACUGAGGCGCGAUUAUUGCUAGUUGAUUCCGUCCCACAAUGCAAUGUAGAAUCUACGGUGUAGAUCCCAGGUUGCAUCAAGUUUGUUUCAAGUUUGUUUCAUUCAACAAAUGUUGACAUAUUUAACAAAU
rnacentral:snRNA from 1 species